GGAGCAGACACCUUCCAGACCCUUAACUUUCACACACUGCUCUCCCGUUAUUUGCCUCCUUCCCUCCCCCCCCGUCGCCCCUUUCCCUCCUCUCCCUCCUCCUCCUUCUCCUUUUCCAGUUCAGCGGCGCAAAUUUCUGUUUGUGCCAGUGGGGCGGCCUGGCGAGACCGCAAUUGCUCUACCCCACAGAUUGACGAGCCCUCAGAUGCCGAUUUACUGUACAUGGCAGCCACGCUGGAGCCGCGGCACAUCUGGAGUGGAGUAAGCUUACUCAGAAACAGGGGCCAGCUCCAGCCGGAGCCAACGGAGCUGAGCGCGGCGCUGAAAGGCAGCCCUCCUGCCUCCCCUUCCCGCCUCCCCGGUGCAAGAGCUGCAAGAGCGAGUCCUGCCUGGUUGAGACAAACCGGACAUUCAUUCCUGCUGGCCUGCCCAAGGGAGGAUACCUUUUGGCUCACCUGACAAAUCUGCUACUAACACAUCCUGAGAAGUCAAGUGUUGUGUUUCAGGUGCAAUAAAAACAUGGCUCCUUCGUGGUGUGAGGAACUGCUCAUGGUGACAUUAAAUUUCUCUCAGAGUGCAUCUCAAGAGAUCCCUGUACUUGCACUAGGUGUGGCCCUGGCAGCCACAGUCAGAGCUGCUGCUGGGGCAGCAGGACGCGAGCCAGUGUGGCAUAUUGUGCAGUAUAGCCCACAUCUUUUCAUUUCCUCAAUUUUCUUCACGCACCAGUCCUAGUAUGCCUUGCUUGUGAGGUACAUUAAAGGUUUAUCUGCCCUGUAAUUCGACCAUAAAAAGCUGCAGCUCAAAAUGCCCAAGAUAAUUUCUUCCAUGAUGUUGGACUCACCUCUGGUGUCUACCUCUGGGCAGCCUUUUGCCCAUUGGUCUCACCAGAGUGAGUGGUUUGCCUCAGCUAUUGUGUGCUGGCGACAAUACAAGCAUGGCCCAAGUAAGACUAAGACAACUGAUAAUGCUUUAAUGCAUAAUACCAGCAGAUCAGAAAUGAUCAACUUCAAGAUGAGGGCUGUUUGAUUUUCAUGGCUCCUAAGGAGUGGUAUGUUAUGAAGUGGUGGUUGUGGUUUGAUGGGGGAACUGUUCUGAAUGCUACGGGAAGCACACGGGGUCCACUCUGCUUGUGUCAUGCUGUAUAACAGUUUCUCCAUUAUCUGAUGCUGAUUUUCCCUCAAAUGGUGAGCUAUCUUCAUUGGAUACACACAUAGUAUUUGUGGACUAAUUCUAUGGUGUUUGAAAGUCUUUCGAAAAGUGCUUAAAAAGACUUUUCCUCUCCAAGGGAGUUCAGUGGUUCAGACUCGUUAAUCUGAAUAAAAUAUUGCUAUCAUAAUUAGUGCUAAUUGGCAGCUUUGUUUGCAGCCUCAUCAGAGUCAGUGAUUAGCUAAACAGAGGUUAUAAAUGCAUGUCUUUACUACACAUAAAUAAAGGGCUUUAAGGUCAACUACUGCUAAACCAGCACUUUUCAGAGCACUGUGUUCAUGUACUGCCUCCUUCCCUUACCAGAAAUUUGUGUUUCACAACCACUGGUUACUUUUCUCAGAUUUGCAGUAAGCAUUGAGUUAUUACGUUAAUGUCUGGUAUGGCUGUUUCUAUGCUGACCCACUAAGGAACACAUUUUGUUUUGACAUGGCCUUGGAAACUUAAAGGAGUACAAAAUGCACAACAUGUAGGCAUGUAAAAAUAAAUACAGGGAACCCACCAGACAUGAAUAGCAAGGAGGCUACAAGCAAUUCAGCCAUAGGGCUAAGAAACAAAUGGUUUCUUUAUGUGGCUCUGGCUGUUCGGUAGCUGUACUUCAGAGCAAUGUAAUGGGUUUUAAUGUUCAUAAAAAUGUUCAAUCUGGUAAACCAAUUUUUAGACUCUUACACAGUCUUGUUGAAAUUGGAUUCAUUUGAACUGCAAUAUAAAAUAUUAUGUUUACUUAACCCUUGUAAACUGAUCUCCUUUGUCUUCACAAACUUGCUGGGCAGUUAAGGACCUAACAUUCCUUCCGCAGUUAAUAAAAUUUUGCAUUUUUCUCUCUAUUCAUAAAUUUAAUUACAGUCAGACCUGAUUAAUCAACAUCAAACUUUUUUAAUACUCAUUCUUUUAGGUAGCUUUGGAUUGAAAAAUACAUAUGAAGGUCAUACACUGAGACUUUGUAUAUUAUUCAUGUUCCAAAAGUCUGCUUGGAUUUUUUUCUGUGUGCAGCCCUGCAGAUAGUGCAACUUACAUCAGCUGAGGGCUGAUUACACCUAUCAUGCAGAUAGGUAUAAUAUCUGCAUGAUAGGUAUAGAUAUUAUCUGCAUAAUAGAUAAAUAAUGUCAGAGCUUUGCUCUUUAUAAAAGAUGAUAAUCUCUUUCUGUCCUCAUUUUUGAAUAAAAGUCCUAGUGAUGUGAAUGGCAGUUAACAUUCAAAGCUGUUUCUCUGUUCUUCUCUCUACCCAUUUCCUGAAUUUUCAUCUGUCUUGCGCCAGGGUCCCUGGAGAUAUUUCAUACAGGCAUUUCUAUGUUACUUCCAAAUGGGCAAGAAUAAACUGCAUUCCAUAUGGCCAUUAGGUAGCCUUUUUGCUACAUGUAUAUUGCAUUUCCCAAGGCACUCAGGAUUUACAAAAAUCCUUGAAUGGUACAGUUGAUGUUGAUCAAAGAGCCCGUGAUUCAAGAAUUUAUGAAGAAAGAUUUUGAGGUUUUCUGUCUGAAAUUUUGCAGGGAAUACAGUGGCUGGAGUAGUGUUUAAAAAUCCUAAAGAUUUUACUGGAGUUAGCUGGUCAGUAGGAGUGAAAUCCCUUUACAGCCUUAAAAGACGAUAUAACUUGGUGUGGACUUUUGUUAAUUUAACAAUGAAUGCCUUGCACUUGGUUUGCUGUGCAUGGAUUGUUGAGCUCCUGGGGACCAUCUCACCCCACUUUCAGUGUGGAAUAUUAAACAAAGUACAAGAUUAGAAUUUUAACUAAAAGUGAAUAGUGAAAGGACAUAACAUGCUGCAAGUUUGGCUUUCACCUCAGAGCUGAUUAAUGACCACAGAAGAUAAAUGGAAAAGGUCAAACCUAUCAAUUUUAAAACACAGAGCAAUUACAGAGCUGCCAUUUCUUAAGUUCAAGCUUCCUGCUACUAUAAGUCCUGCUUGCAGUGGCUUAUGCUGAAUGGUCAGUAAGGCUUAUGAGAGCACUUUGCAUAAAGCUGAAUUUUAUCAGGGCUACUUUUCAGCUGUGAAUCAGAUACACUUUUGUGUGUAAGCUCAAUAUUCUGAUACUACUAGGAUAGAUGUGAAGCUGUGCAGGAUUUAAGCAAAGCACCUACCAUAAUGAGGAAAGAAAAUAUGAGAUCCUUUUAUUUGUAAGCCCCUACGUUUGUAAUUUACAGAAGAUAGCUUCAUCUCUUGGGAACCAUCUGUAUUUCAUUGGGGUGCUCUUUUCUACCCAGGUUUAUGACAUGACUAAUCGAAGCACUGGGAGAUCAAGUGCCUCACUCAAGGUCACAGAUCAUUUUGGUAGCUCUGUCUCAAGCCUAGAGUUCAGCAUGACUGACUUUGUGAUAACACAGCCCCUGUGAACUCCGAAACUAAAGGCAAUACAAAUAACUGUGUAUGGCAUAAUCAGUAAAAGACUUUGUUGUUGUUGUCGUUGUUGUUCAACAUUCCCUUUUAAAAAAAUAUGUGGAGAGAGAGUACAUGAAGAGUGACUAGGAAGGGAGUAAGUGAAAGAAAACAGUGUGUUCUGUGCUCAUAAAACAGUAACAAGGACUUGUACAAACUGUAUUCAUGCCUAGAGCUUGAAUGUUUCAAAGUUGUUUCUACAGAGUGCCUUGUAAUCACUAUCCUCAGCAUCCUGUUUAAGAGAAGCUAUUAACUGCUUGCAGUACUUUCCUUCUAUUUUUCAGUAAGAUAAUAUGAGGCAAAGGCCAAGAGCUAAUGUCAGGUUCUGUCCAAAGCACUUUUUUUUUUUUUUUUUAAGAAGAGGUCUGUUAGUCGAUAUUUUUGAAGUGGCAGAAAGGAAGCACCGGGGCAGUGUCCUUCCUGGCUCCGCACAGCUUCCUGCGCGCUUCCCUGCCGAAGUGUUAGUCAGAACGCUGCAACAAUUCAUGCUCAGCCUCCCACGCCAUCGUCUGCCUGGCUUUGAUUUUCUGAACUUGUACAAUAGACUGAUGGGUCUGUUCUCUGACUUAGCGAUGAGUGUACAGGUGGCAGAGCAAAGAGCCAGCAGAAAUAUCUUUGUGAUUCAGAGAUUGUGAAUGAUCUCUGUGUGUGCGUCUCUGAAUACACCUGCCUUUUAAUGCUAUAGUAGACACGGUUGCGUAAUGUACCCAGAUUAAAGUCUACAGGGCUCUUGGAUAAACCCGUUGUGGUUAAAAAAAAAAUUAAAAAUUAGAGUUGACUGCUGACUAAAAUGCUUUCACGCGCACUUUUCUCAUAUCCCUGGUGAUGAACUCUCUCCAGACUUCUUCCCACCUGUUUAUGGCUUGGCUCUCUGGAUCAGGUGCUGUUCCCAUUGGCACCAGUGCAAAUCCAGUUACCUGAUGUAAACUAGAACCAGUUGGGCAGCUCAGGCUUCACAUCGUUGUAGUCAUUGUGGAGCCACAAUUUGUGAAUGGAGUGAUGUCUAGCACCAUAAGUUCCCGCAAAUGGUGAAGGAGUCACUGAUUUUGCCUGUAGCAACAGCUGCUGAGAAAGGGAAGAGAAAAACCUCUGCAAGAGCAGGAGGAGAUAACAAAGGCAGUGUGCAGUCAAGAGUCAGUCAAAGAAUCAUGAUUAUCUUUGACUAUAUGUUCACUGAAAGAAACAAGCUUUUUGUUUUUCUGCCUCUUGUGGGUGUGCCUUUUAUCACAUGUCCUUUUUUAAAAAAUAUAACCAGCCUUUUUCUUCUCCCCUUUCUAUUCUAAUGGUAUAGCUAUUAGUGGCUUCAUCUUAAGAACUAGUGUAGUAAUGCAGUCCAAUCUUCAUUCUCUCUCAACCUUUUUUAAGUCCUUAUGCUAAUUUUGUGUUAAGCCCAAACUGUCUCCUCAAAGAGAGCCCCACUGUUCUGACUUCAGUUGUCUCUGUGGUGAGAAACUUGUUUUUACCUUCCCAUAGCUGAAUGCAUCAAGGAAGGCUAAUACAGAGCCUCUCAAGAAACCAGUAGGCUUUUACUUUUCUUUAAGAGGACAGAGGAUAACAAGAGUUUGGGAAAGUUAUACCCAGCAGUAAUAGCACUAAUCCUUGGCACAUUUAUAUCUGCUGUUGUGAAGGAUCAUGCUGCUCUGCACCGUUGGGAGAGAGUGCAGGCAAAUGUUUAGUGAGAAACUAGAUAUUGAAGCACGAGAUAUGAAAUGUUAUGAGGACAAAAGGAUUCUGCUGUUGUCAGAAGCACCUGGUUCCUCGGAUCAGCCAGGGUCAACGAAGCCACCUCUGUUAUCCUGCCACAUAGAUAUGAAAUAUAGAAUAGAAAGACAUAGCAAUUCCUACGAGAUGAGAGUUAUUAGAACCUUCUCCAUUACACUGUUAUUAGCUUGCCUUGCUGUUAACAAGUCAGGCUCUACUAAUGCAUUUCAAUAGGAAUGGCUUUGUAACCAAGUUCUGCAUUAUUAAAAUAUUUGCUGUGCAGCUGUUUAACCAGAUUUGUUGCUGCUUUUUGUUGUUAUUGUUGUUGCUGUAGUUCAGUUCCUUAUUUUCAUGUCAGUUUUGAUACAACCAGAAAACUGCCCACAUUGUUUUUGUACUUGGAGCAGUUUAUUGUGUGUUUAGUGUAUUUCCAAUGCAAUCUAAAUGUUUGUGUUAUUAUAGUAGCUCUGACAUGUUCACAAAUAAUAUUAUCUGGGAUUUGAUGAGUAACAACUGUUGAUGGAACGCAAACUUGACCUGCAUUAAAAAAAAGUUUCCUCCAGCCAUCUUGGACACUAAAGCCUGUCUGGUACAUCAACUUACUUUUGUACUCAGGAGCUGCUUUAGGUAGAUUUACAGUAAGCCAUGGAAUGGAAUCUCAAUGAAGUGAGUGCCCACUCUGGGCCUAAACUUUUACAUUUUGUCCCUCAGAUUUUUAGCAGGAGACCUUGCCCACUCUAUAUCUGCUUCAUCUAUGAAAAUGCUUUGCUUUUUUGCACAAUAUUGGAGACAUAUGAAUCUGACAAAUUACAUUUGCUGUUAGUUUAGAAGAAAUCUGUGAAUAUUGUAAAUGAAAAUGUGUGGGUCUGUUUUACUGCUUUAUUCAUGAUUGUGUUAUGUACCUUUACACAGUGGAUGGUAACUAUCAAGAAAUCAAAACUGUAUUUUUUAUUGUUAUUUAUGUUCGCUUUUCAUUAUUUCAAGAUAAAAUUCUUCUAGUACCCCAAGAUGCUGAUGGCAUAUGUAACAUUAAAAGUCUACAUUUGUCUUUUAUAUUACUAUUUCAUAAUCCUAAAGAUGUUAACACAAGGUUUCUUGGAAUAUUUAUUAAAAAAAUAACCACUCUGCAGUACAUACGUGACUGUGUUUUGUGGUGCUAAAGAAUUUCUCUGUAUCCUAUUGAGGAAAAAUGGUAGAAAAAUAAAACUAGGAGAGAAUUCACCUGCUUCAGCUCUCUGACCAAAGGCUUCUCAUCUCAAGUAUUCCUGACAGCUGCCUGUGGAAGUCUUUGAACUGUUUGGUACUGUACCAUAGGACUUCCUGAUUUUUUUCAAUUUGCGUUGGUUUGGAGGCAUCCCUGUUACUUUAAGUUAAGCUGUGCUCUGCUUGAGAAGGCCCUGGUGCAGGGGCUUGUUCCCAAGAUUUCUCAUUGUUGCAAACUGUGACUCAGCUGUGCUGUAGCUGCCAUAAGCUGCUGUCUGCCCUUGCUGCUUUAAGCACUGUAAUGGUUAAAACUUCUUCAAGGCAGUCUGAGGUUUAGUGGCAGGACCUGAUAGUUUGUGACGACACACAAGUGUCAGUUCGAGAGGAGCUGUUCUGAGGUCGGCUGUGUUAAGAAGGUCACUCAGAUGUAAAGUGAACAUAGCACCUACCUACAGCUACCUACAGAAUAAUAGGUAUUUCGGGCUUUUUCUUUCAAUCUACUCUUUACUUUGCUGUUGCAAGACAGUAAAACCUUGCUUUUUGUUCUUUGGUGUUUAUAGGUUGCUGCAAAGACGUAAUGGUAAUAUUUUUUACAAAAGGUAACAGUUGUCAUGCUUGUAAAUCAGAAUAAUAAAUCAUGAAGUUUCUUA